UCUGAGCAUGUGUACACAAAACCAUCAGCAAGUAAUGGCCAUACAGUGGCUUGGAACAUGACUCAGACAGCAUAGGCGGAGAUGGGAUGUAAGGCCAUUGAGAGCUGGCGUGAAGUGUGUUAAGUAUGAUGGGUGCAGUGACAGAUGGUUUGACCUUAUCUGCCGCAGUUGUGGGAUCUUGACUGUGAAAGACGUUGGACCUCCUCUCCUCUCUGCUCCCGACACUCAGCUGGCAUUUCAAUGGGGCCUCCAGCACCGGAGACAACGCGCCAACAACACCCAGACAACCAGUCGUCCUGCAGGACUGGCCGCAUCACUGCUUCCCAAAAAAAGUGGCUUUUGAACAUGUGAAUGAGAACAGGAUAUUAUAUACAGCAUAUAUAUAUAUCAUCAAAUGUAGCAGACAAGAGAAACAUGGGCUACAAGUAAGACUGGGACAGGAGGUGGGAGAAUGAUGAGGGGAACAAAAACACCAAACAACAAAAAAGGAUGACUGCAUAUAAAUGCAGGUAUAGAGUGUUAUUGAUCCACAAAGGAGAAAGCAACGAGGAGAAUGACUGAAACUCUCCUCUACACAUAACUUGGGCAAUGGGACUAUUGCCUGCAUCCAUAGAAUUAUUUACUAUUCAAACAAAUUCCUUCUAACUUUUUCAUGAUAUCAACGAGUUUACUCCCAGCUCUAAACAAUAAACUGGUUA